rnacentral:rRNA from 1 species
GACAGAGGGUGCAAACGUUGUUCGGAUUUACUGGGCGUAAAGGGCGCGUAGGCGGUUUGUACAGUCAGGUGUGAAAUUUCCCGGGCUCAACCUGGGGGCUGCACUUGAUACGUAUGGACUGGAGUGGGGAAGAGGGUCGUGGAAUUCCCAGUGUAGAGGUGAAAUUCGUAGAUAUCGGGAGGAACACCGGUGGCGAAGGCGGCGACCUGGGUCGACACUGACGCUGAGGCGCGAAAGCGUGGGGAGCAAACAGG